ACGAGUGGGUAAUCUAUUGCGUCUCGCCCUCCAAAUGAGGACAUUCACUUUCCGAUCGAGGUGCUAGAUUAUUCCAAACCGUUUUGAUUGGAUUGUGAUCCAAGUAUUCACUAUCUAUGAGUCUUCACAUGGAUGAUACAGUGAACAGACCAUUGGCUUAUUUUCAAUUCUCAUCUUGAACUAUGAAGUGAUCAUUGAGGGUUAUGUUAUAUUUUCCUAAGGAUAGAGUAAUGUUAGAAAUUUUACCCCACACACCAGAUCUGUUACUUAAUGACCAAAUCUGCCCCAACCCUCCAUCGGGCCUAGGAUAGCCUCUAUCUGUUACUUGUUGAAAUAGUAAAAAAAAAAUUAUAUCAUUUGUAUUUAUAUAAAUUAUUACUAAAAAAUAUGUAAAGCUUACCACUUUAUAUUAAUUAAGAAAAAAAAAAAAAACUAAUGUAACCCACGGUCUCGUAUCUAUAUCGAGAUGAUAUUUGAACUACCAAACAUUUGAGCCUGGGAUUGCUGUGGUAAAGAUUAUAUUGUAUAAAGAGAAUCUUAAGCAGGUCCAAUCUGAGUCGCCUAAAAUUGGAUGCCAAGUCAUUGGGCCCCACUUUCCAUACACAUUUACCACUAUAUAACCUCUUCUCCUAACCCUAACCCUUUCUUCAUUCCAUCCACCCUUCAUCCUUCCCACACACGACUAGGGUUUCUCUGCCUCAAACCCAAUCAUAACAUGCCAACUGGGUUUUGCUCCUUCUUCAUCUUCUUCCGUUUCUUCUGCACAACACCUUUCAAUUUUCAAAACCACGAAAGUCAUUGGUUACUGGUGCGGCAUCUUCAAGAUUCACAUGCCAAUAUUCAACUCUAGAUAAGUUUUUGGUUAAUGGGUAAUGAGAAUCUUGAUGAUGCUGCAUCAGAAAUCAAUCGACUACAUUCCAUUUACUACGGUUGCUCUGAAUCUUAUAUAGAAAGGCUCUAACAAUAUUGUCCAAGAUAAAGAAACGGAAACAGAAACCGUAUAACGCACAUAUAUACACCUUUGCAAACUAUCUCGUUCUCUGAAGAAGAACAACACCAUUGAAUUACAGGAUCUGCUGAUAGAAAGCGGUGAAGUCAUCUAAUUCGUACUUAUUUAUUUUAAAAUGAUAUCUUCGUACUUAUUUAUUUAAAAAUCAUAUCUGGGCGUCUUUUAAAUUUUCAUAAUCUUCAUGAAUUAGUAGUUUAUAUGAGAUCAAAAGAUUUUUGUUUUUCUUUUGGUGCCUCAGUUACAGAUCUUAGGGAGCAACGAAAUUUCCUUUCUUCUUAGGCUGCCCGUGUAUGGAAAACCAUCUUACACGUCAAAGCUGACGUGGCCGACUUUCCCACGCGUAAAGGGCAUGUUCUAUUGUUCGCUUUUGAACACCAUUAAUUUCCACAACCUACUGCAAUUGUUGUGGAAUGGUGAGAUGAUGAUGUGGCUUUCUCUUCACUUCCUCUUCAUUACGUACCUUUUCACCGGUAUGUCACCGGAUAGCCUUAAAGAGAAGAAGCGCAUCUGAAAAGUUGGAUUCAUUUCGAUUGCAGUGAUCUGAUCACCAAUCUUCUGGUUAAUGUGAAUAUUGAAAUAGUGUUCAAUCUCGGCAUCUUGUUUUAUUUGCUUAUAUGUAUACAAAAGUAAAUCUAACGCACCUAAUUUGCUUAAUAUAUAAUACAAGCGUCACUAUAUUAAUUCUUAA